ACUGCCCCUAAAAGCAUUGCAGGUGUGGCUGUUGUGUGGCAUGUGCAUCAGUAGGGAGCAGAGAGAAGUUCCAUCUACUUUCAGUCUUCUGACCUGUGAACUUCUGGAUGACUAAAUCGCCUACAUU